rnacentral:rRNA from 1 species
AUUGAACGCUGGCGGCAUGCUUUACACAUGCAAGUCGAGCGGUAACAGGUUAAGCUGACGAGUGGCGAACGGGUGAGUAAUGCAUCGGAACGUGCCCGAUCGUGGGGGAUAACGCAGCGAAAGCUGCGCUAAUACCGCAUCCGAUCUGAGGAUGAAAGCGGGGGACCGUAAGGCCUCGCGCGAUCGGAGCGGCCGAUGUCAGAUUAGGUAGUUGGUGGGGUAAAGGCCCACCAAGCCGACGAUCUGUAGCUGGUCUGAGAGGACGACCAGCCACACUGGGACUGAGACACGGCCCAGACUCCUACGGGAGGCAGCAGUGGGGAAUUUUGGACAAUGGGCGAAAGCCUGAUCCAGCAAUGCCGCGUGCAGGAAGAAGGCCUUCGGGUUGUAAACUGCUUUUGUACGGAGCGAAAAGGUCCUUUCUAAUACAAGGGGCUCAUGACGGUACCGUAAGAAUAAGCACCGGCUAACUACGUGCCAGCCGCCGCCGUAA